rnacentral:rRNA from 1 species
UACGAAGGGGGCUAGCGUUGUUCGGAAUUACUGGGCGUAAAGCGCGCGCAGGUGGUCUUUCAAGUCAGUGGUGAAAGCCCGGAGCUCAACUCCGGAAAUGCCAUUGAAACUGUGAGACUUGAGGAUGAGAGAGGUGAGUGGAAUUCCCAGUGUAGAGGUGAAAUUCGUAGAUAUCGGGAGGAAUACCAAUGGCGUAGGCAGCUCUCUGGCUCGUAACUGACACUGAGAUUCGAAAGCAUGGGUAGCAAACGGG